GCUGGUUUGAAAAGCAAGGCCCGGGCGGGGGCCACUGCGCUGGCCGCGGUCCCGAGCCCCAGGGAAAGCCCCCCGGCCGCUCCCCUGAGACGCUCGAGAAAACGGGUCUGCGUGAGAGCCGCUCCACCCAGCCUGGGGCCAGAGCUUCCACGGCUCCUCAACACACCCUCACCACACGCCACACACCACGCACACAGCACACAGCACACACACACACCACACACACACCAUACACACACCAUACACAAAACACCAUACACACCACACACACACCACACACAAAACACCACACACACACACCACACACACACCAUACACAAAACACAUACAGCACACACCACACACAAAACACACCACACACAUACCAUACACACAUACACAAAACACCACACACACACACAAAAAACACACACACCACACACAAAACACCACACACACCAUACACCCCACAUACAGCACACACACCACACACAAAACACCACACACACACACACACUAUACACACAGCACACACAAAACACAUACAGCACACACCACACACAAAACACCACACACACACACACACACCAUACACACAUCAUACACAAAACACACGCAGCACACACCACACACAAAACACCACACACACACCACACACACACCAUACACAAAACACAUACAGCACACAGCACACAAAAAAGCCACACACACCACACAAACACACAGCACACACACAGCACACGGCACACGCAAAACACGACACACACACCACACACAAAACACCACACAUACCACACACCACACAUACAGCACACACACACCACACACACAACACAUACAGCACACAGCACACACAAAAUACCACAUAUACACACCACACACACACCAUACACAAAACACAUACAGCACACACCACACACAAAACACACCACACACAUACCAUACACACAUACACAAAACACCACACACACACACACAAAAACACACACACACCACACACACACACACACACUAUACACACAGCACACAUCAUACACAAAACACACACAGCACACAGCACACACAAAACACCACAUACACAAAACAC
rnacentral:lncRNA from 1 species